rnacentral:rRNA from 1 species
CCUACGGGGGGCAGCAGUGAGGAAUAUUGGUCAAUGGGCGGGAGCCUGAACCAGCCAAGUCGCGUGAGGGACGACGGUCCUAUGGAUUGUAAACCUCUUUUGUCGGGGAGCAAGACCCGCCUCGUGCAGGCGGAGCGAGAGUACCCGAAGAAGAAGCAUCGGCUAACUCCGUGCCAGCAGCCGCGGUAAUACGGAGGAUGCGAGCGUUAUCCGGAUUUAUUGGGUUUAAAGGGUGCGCAGGCGGACCAUCAAGUCAGCGGUAAAAUCG